AUUGAACGCUGGCGGCAUGCCUUACACAUGCAAGUCGACCGGUAACAGGUCUUCGGAUGCUGACGAGUGGCGAACGGGUGAGUAAUACAUCGGAACGUGCCUAGUAGUGGGGGACAACUACUCGAAAGAGUGGCUAAUACCGCACGAGCUCUACGGACGAAAGCAGGGGAUCGCAAGACCUUGUGCUACUAGAGCGGCCGAUGGCAGAUUAGGUAGUUGGUGGGAUAACAGCUUACCAAGCCGACGAUCGGUAGCUGUUCUGAGAGGACGAUAAGCGACACUGGGACUGAGACACGGCCCAGACUCCUACGGGAGGCAGCAGUGGGGAAUUUUGGACAAUGGGCGCAAGCCUGAUCCAGCAAUGCCGCGUGCAGGAUGAAGGCCUUCGGGUGGUAAACUGCUUUUGUACGGAACGAAAAGCCCUGGGUUAAUACCCUGGGGUGAUGACGGUACCGUAAGAAUAAGCACCGGCUAACUACGUGCCAGCCGCCGCAGUAA
rnacentral:rRNA from 1 species